AUGGACGCCGUUGACUCCAUGGUGGACCCCCUCCGCGAGUUCGCCAAGGACAGCGUCCGCCUCGUCAAGCGCUGCCACAAGCCCGACCGCAAGGAGUUCACCAAAGUGGCGGCACGGACGGUGAUCGGGUUCAUCGUCAUGGGGUUCGUCGGCUUCUUCGUCAAGCUCAUCUUCAUCCCCAUCAACAACAUCAUCGUUGGCUCCGGCUAG
rnacentral:rRNA from 1 species